GAUCAUGGCUCAGAUUGAACGCUGGCGGCAGGCCUAACACAUGCAAGUCGAACGGUAACAGGAAGAAGCUUGCUUCUUUGCUGACGAGUGGCGGACGGGUGAGUAAUGUCUGGGAAACUGCCUGAUGAGGGGGAUAACUACUGGAAACGGUAGCUAAUACCGCAUAACGUCGCAAGACCAAAGAGGGGGGACCUUCGGGCCUCUUGCCAUCGGAUGUGCCCAGAUGGGAUUAGCUAGUAGGUGGGGUAACGGCUCACCUAGGCGACGAUCCCUAGCUGGUCUGAGAGGAUGACCAGCCACACUGGAACUGAGACACGGUCCAGACUCCUACGGGAGGCAGCAGUGGGGAAUAUUGCACAAUGGGCGCAAGCCUGAUGCAGCCAUGCCGCGUGUAUGAAGAAGGCCUUCGGGUUGUAAAGUACUUUCAGCGGGGAGGAAGGGAGUAAAGUUAAUACCUUUGCUCAUUGACGUUACCCGCAGAAGAAGCACCGGCUAACUCCGUG
rnacentral:rRNA from 1 species